GCAUGACAAUGAAAAAGGAAGGAUCUGAAAAGGGUAGCUGAGGGGAGACAAAACAUCCUUUCCAACUCAGGCUCAGUGAAAAGUUGCCAACAGCUGCUGUCUACUCUUGGGUCUGGGAGAAAAUUCAGCCUUUCCAGUUUGUGGUGACUAACAGCGACCACAAGACCUUUGCAAUCUGCAGGCAAGAAUGUGCAUGAAUUGCCGAGGUGAGUAUCUCCAGAGAGGACGCCUUUAACACCGGAGCGGAGGGAAGCACAGCGUCCCGGAGCCUCAGUUCGGAGCCGCAAGAACCACCGAGGGAGCCUCAAGUCCUCGACAGGACUUGCCCAGGAGCCGGCAGCUCAGCUGACGCGAGCAGCUGACUCACAGGGGGCGGUGCCAGGAGUGGCGGCACCAGCCCUCAGUGGGGAAAAACCCAUCCCAGGGAGCGCGAGCGACCGGGAGCGCGGCGACCAGGGCGGGCAAACAGGGCGUGGCACGUCAGUCAGGGCGUGGCGCGGCAGUUGGCGCAGGCAGGGCGAGCGGGCAGCGAGCGGGAUGGUAAGCACUCGCCUCAGGACCCGGGCCCGCUCUGGGAGCUCUGCCCCGGCGGUGGCCAGCCUAGGCACCCAGACAGAGCCGAUGAGAGGGGAGGCUGCGGCUCAGAGCUCGGAGUGUAGAAAGUGCCUCGACUGGUCUCUUGAGGCGAGGGUGCACAAUGGACAGGGCUGCACUCGGUGCGCCCUGGUGGAGGUCCUCCUGCAGCAGGUGGCUGAGCUGCGGGAGGCUGUUGGAGAGCUAAAAGAUGCCAA
rnacentral:lncRNA from 1 species